rnacentral:rRNA from 1 species
AUUGAACGCUGGCGGCAGGCUUAACACAUGCAAGUCGAGCGAGCGGCGGACGGGUGAGUAAUGUCUGGGAAACUGCCUGAUGGAGGGGUAUAACUACUGGAACCGGUAGCUAAUGCCGCAUACCAUCAGAUGUGCCCAGAUGGGAUUAGCUAGUAGGGGGGGUAAUGGCUCACCUAGGCGACGAUCCCUAGCUGGUCUGAGAGGAUGACCAGCCACACUGGAACUGAGACACGGCCCAGACUCCUACGGGAGGCAGCAGUGGGGAAUAUUGCACAAUGGGCGAAAGUCUGAUGCAGCCAUGCCGCGUGAGUGAAGAAGGCCUUCGGGUUGUAAAGCACUUUCAGCGAGGAGGCGUUACUCGCAGAAGAAGCACCGGCUAACUCCGUGCCAGCCGCCGCGGUAAUAC